AUGAACUGGAGCCCUCUCUUCCUCACUCUCCUUGCUCACUGCACAGGCCCUGCAGCCUCCUAUGAGCUGACUCAGGCACCCUCAGUGUCAGUGGGCCUGGGAGAGACCGCCCACCUCACCUGUGGAGGAAACAAUAUUGAAAAUAAAAAUGCUUACUGGUACCAGCAGAAGCCAGGCCAGCCCCCUGUGCUGACCAUCUACAAGAGUAACCAGCGGCCUUCUGGAAUCCCUGACUGAUUCUCUGGCACUAACUCAGGGAACACGGCCACCCUGACCAUCAGCAGUACCCAGGCUGAGGACGAGGCUGACUAUUACUGUCAGGUUUGGGAUGAUAGUGCUGCUCACAGUGACACCGGCAGUUGGAGAAGAAUGAAGCUUCUCUGUGGUCACACAGCCACUCCAGGCAGCCCUGUGCUCUGUUGA